rnacentral:misc_RNA from 1 species
AAGUCGUAACAAGGUUUCCGUAGGUGAACCUGCGGAAGGAUCAUUAUCGAAUAGAAAACUUGGUCAGGCUGUUGCUGAUCUCUCGGGAUAUGUGCACGCCUGUUACCAACUUUCUUCUACCACCUGUGCACCUUUUGUAGAUGCUGGACAUCUGUCCGAGUUCUUGAACUCGGGUGUCGAGGACCCUGCUGUGCUGUACAGCUCAGCUUUCCUUGCAUGUCUGUGCUCUACGUCUUUUUCAUUCAUACACACUGCAUGUCUCAGAAUGUAAUUGAUAGGCAUAAUUGCCUUUAAAACUUUAAUACAACUUUCAACAACGGAUCUCUUGGCUCUC